CCUACGGGAGGCAGCAGUGGGGAAUAUUGCACAAUGGGGGAAACCCUGAUGCAGCGACGCCGCGUGAGUGAAGAAGUAUUUCGGUAUGUAAAGCUCUAUCAGCAGGGAAGAAAAUGACGGUACCUGACUAAGAAGCCCCGGCUACCUACGUGCCAGCAGCCGCGGUACUACGUAGGGGGCAAGCGUUAUCCGGAUUGACUGGGGGGAAAGGGGGCGUAGACGGGGCGGCAAGUCUGAAGUGAAAGGCAUGGGAUUAACCCCUGAACUGCUUUGGAAACUGCCAUGCUAGAGUGCUGGAGAGGUAAGUGGAAUUCCUAGUGUAGCGGGGAAAUGCGUAGAUAUUAGGAGGAACACCAGUGGCGAAGGCGGCUUACUGGACAGUAACUGACGUUGAGGCUCGAAAGCGUGGGGAGCAAACAGGAUUAGAUACCCUUGUAGUC
rnacentral:rRNA from 1 species